ACUUCCGCUCGCUCUCUCUUUCAUUCCGGCUCUGUAGAGGACAGGUGUGUAGUACAGAACGGCGUGCAGAAGCUAUUGCGGACGUCAGAGUUGUGCAGGUGAACACACGGUUGAAAGGUGUGUUAACUCUUCGGGGCCGUGAGCAUCGCCUGCGAGUUUCAGUGUGGUCAGGAGCAGGACAGGUACACUGAUGGAGGAACACUCAGGUAGACCUUUCACAGGAACCGUCUGGAGUCUUUGGAGUAAUUCUGGUAAAUUGUGCACUAAAUCCCUACAAUACUACAUGUUCCUUUUAUUCUGAUGUUAAAGUGCUGAAAUAAGUGUGAGAAUGUCCUACAAUAAAGUGAUGAAAUGUGUGAAGUUGUAUCGUCGUUCUUGCUGAUGUUUCUCUUUAGUUACACAUCAUAAUGUUGACUAUAUGAACUGUUGGAAUAUAUUUAAGUGGAUUUUUUAAAAAUUAUUUUAAAAAUUGCAUUAUCCACACGGGUAAGCUGAGUUUUAGAGUAAACUCUGGUGACUUUAAGGGGAACACAGGAGUUAAGAGUGGAGUACUGGAGCCAAGGAGUUUUUACAUUCUCAAACACACACUGGCAGACGAGACCAAACUGCUCGACUGUACCUGGGCUUUGAGGAUGAUGAGCUGAUGCCCAGUUACAUUAAUAUUCAGUUGGUGCAGGAUCUCCACAAAUGUUUGUUUGAGGUUUCACUUUAUUUUGGAAGAUGGAGCAGCGAAGUCUCCUGGAGAAUGAACAACUUCUACUUCUUCUUCUUCUGCAUUGUGAAAGUUGGAUGGAGUUCGGCGGGGCUGUAACCUGAGCUCAGGCCAUGGACCGUGAAGACUCCACAGAGGAGCCAAUGGACCUGGAAGAGUCUACAGAGGAGGCCAUGGACAUGCAGGCCAUGGACCUGGAAGACUCCACGGAGGAGUCCAUGGACGUGGAUGACUCCACAGAAGAGCCCAUGGACGUGCAGUGAGGAUGCUAAUACAAUGAACAGCAAGUACAAGACUAUCCUGAAAAACAACGAAUCAUACAGAGCUUCUACUAGCUGUUGUGUGAGUUGAGGUGGUAACGAGCUGACGGCAUAAACUAAAAAUCAACUACAACAAUAGAACAACAAAAGGGAAGGGAAAGUGGGCACAUCAGAGAGAGUGCUCCGAGAGGAACCGGUGACGUUAGGAUCCGGGGGUCAAACUCGGAGUGAAGAUUCCCUCAACCCUCUAAUGCAGUUAGUGCUCCUCCCUCUCUCCUGAUGUACAGGGCCCAUUGGUAGGUAGGGAAAGAUGUCAGUGAAUGUUUAAAUUCUGUUUUUUUUUUAGUUUCAACAGACUUGGCCUCUUGUGUGGGUCUGCAACAGAUUUGUAGGGGCUCAUCUAGAAUUGGCUCUUUUAAGCCAUUGGGAAGUCAAUCCAGAGAUUCAUG
ensembl:lncRNA